UCUCUCUCUCUCUCUCUCUUUCUCUCUCGAUCUCGAAAGGCCGCGCAAAACCCUAUUUAAACCCUAAAUCCCAAUACAUUGAAAAGCCCUAACAAUGGCUUCAAUUUUACUUUGAUAUCGCUUUCCAUCGAUAGUAUCGAGAAAUAAGAAAUCUAAUGGGCGAUCUUUUAGCUAAGACUUUGCCAAAGAAUCCAUCAUCUCUUCUCAAUGUAUAAUCGCCGAUCAGUCCGCGGAGGCCAUGGCUGUUGCGGCAGAGUCUCCGGAUGAGGCUGCCAUUGCGGGUUCGGAGAGGAAAGGCUGGAGAUUUUUUUAAAUAUGGGCUCAUUGCCGCUUUUAGUGGAGCUACUGGUUUUGCUGGCUACGCAACUUACAUUUGGUUUUACUUUUUUUUUUUUUUUUAAUGCUUUUCGCUGCAGAGUUCGGCUUUGAAAAAGAAAAGUUGGUUGGAACAAGAUGCUAUUUUUGAAAUAAAUCCCACGUUCUGGAUAGACAAUUAUAUGUCUGGAAUUGUUAGCUUUACCGAUUUCUGGUUUUACCGACUUCAGAUUGCUAAACGUUUGCCACUUGUGAUCUCUCGAAACUCAUUAGAGAUCUGAGUAAGAUUACACAUGUGAGUGCUCAUGCGUUUGAAAAUAGCCUUCAUCCAGAAAAUUGUGUCCCUGUCAAGCCAUUUAAGAUUGAUGAGAAAGGCGAAGAAUUUGUGGAUGCAACACUUUCGGAUCUCAUUCCGUUUCUUGAACAUGAGUGUGUUGAUUUUUAUUGCAUACAUAAAUUAGAGCCCAUUUUGUUGUCGCUGUGGAAGUUAAAUGUCUGUGAUCCAUUUUUCAUUUCUCUUUUUUAAAUUGCAUCUGAGGGGCAAAAGAAUUCUCUUGAAUAGGUGUAUCUUAAAAAAAAAAAAAAAAAAAAAAAACUCUACCAUGAAUCCUGAGGAUGUAUUGCUCAUAUGAAACAUCAACCAGGGAUGGGAAGGGCAUAACAAAAAAACUGCCCCCUGGGCUUGCAAGAUAUUUAGUACCUUUCUGGUUUGUGCAUAGAUGUUGCUUUUGCAAGUCCAGCAGAUAUCAAAAAUGUGUAGCAUCUUAUGAAAAGGAGAGGAUAUUGCAAUAGAGUUAUAGGAACGGUCCAAGCAAACACAGAGGUAAAUUGUAUUCUUGCUUGUCUAUGAUUUAGGCUUGGUUGAGUUAAUCAAAAUUUAUUGGGGUGCUUGAAGGCGAAUGGUGAUGCAGCCAUAUGCAAAUUAAAUGAACAAAAUGACAUUAACUGGAUGACAUGUUAAUAUUGUUGAAUGAUGAUCCAGGCGAAUGCAAGAACAGAGGCAGCAAGGUUUUUUUUAUGAAGAUCAGGCUACUGUAAAAAUAUGGUCGAUGGAUAUUUAAUAGAUGAAUGUGAAGAUAUUGCAGUUGAAGUCGUGAAGCCCUUUAUGUUUCGGAUGUUAGUAUUAUGAUUGUCACUCAAUUAUCUUGACCAUCAAGUAUUUUUUUUUUCCCUAUAGUAACAGUUGAAUUAAUUUACAAGAUUAAUUUUCUAGUAUUGAAACAA